rnacentral:rRNA from 1 species
UACGAAGGGGCGAGCGUUGUUCGGAGUUACUGGGCGUAAAGGGCGCGUAGGCGGCGAUCCAAGUUAGGCGUGAAAUCCCGGGCUUAACCUGGGAACUGCAUUUGUGACUGCAUCGCUGGAGUGCGGCAGAGGGGAUGGAAUUCCGCGUGUAGCAGUGAAAUGCGUAGAUAUGCGGAGGAACACCGAUGGCGAAGGCAAUCCCCUGGGCCUGCACUGACGCUCAUGCACGAAAGCGUGGGGAGCAAACAGG